GGUGAUUAAAAGUCUUUUGGAUGAUUUUAGUAGAUUUGUGUAAAUAUUAACCGCGAAAAAGGCGUCACGUGAUUUCAGUUAAGAAGGGAAGACAUGUUUUAUAAGAGAAGUGAUUUUAUAGUAAAUUAUGAGAAAUAGUAAGGGUUCACAGCUAACCUGUCACAACCAUCACUGGAGAGCAGAGAAUUACAAGAGACAUUGUUGUGUUGUGUGUGAGUGAAAGCCAUUCAUUUCCAUAAAUUGGAUGGAAUUAUCAUUCUAUCUCAGUCAACAGUUGAUGAUAAGGAAAACUUCUGAGAAAUGCACCGUAGAGAACUGUAUACGUGCAUAUGUGGACUUUGUGGUUUUAUGGACAUAUUAGAAAGUUUGGGUUUUCUUGAUUAUAACAGGAACUCUGAAUGAACUAUAAGUUGUGGUGUAAGAAUACUGGAAAGAAUUAGUAAUAUUAUUGGAGUAUAAUAAAGUAAUAUUUAAAACAGAACCCACCUCUUGACUUACUUCUAAAUUUAAUUAUUACUGGGUAAGCCAGAAGGAUACAAAUGGCGCCCAACAUGGUUUAGUUAAAAACUCCAGUAGAAGUAAAGAGACAAUAAUCUGUGAUGAAAGUGAAUAGACAUUUGUGAUGAUUGGUUAAUUUAAACGCUUUAGGACUUAUUUAGACAUUGUCAGUGAAUAAUUCAGAGAAAAACAGAAGUAUUCAAAGAACUGUAAGAAUUUUAGACUUUCUGAGAUGAAACUUUGGAACAGUUACUACUAUGGCGACGGUCACAGAGAAUAAACAUUUACAACUAUUAGUACUUUAGACUUGUGUGUCGUGUUUAAUAGACAUAGUGCUAAAUUUCAAGUGUCCAGACGAUGUUGGAGAUCUUAUUCAACAAGUACGAUUAACAACAAAUUGAGUCAUUAGCUGAUUCAAUGAAUAUUUUAUAAAUUUACGAAACUUUGUUCAAAGAUGCACAAUAGAACAUCAGAAUAACUGUUUACAAGGGAGACAAUACUUUGAUUCUAUAUGAAACCUACAUGUAAGAGUCAAUCAACAGGCGAUUCGGUUAACUACCACAAAGGGAAAUAGACAUACGUUCGUAGCCAGGAGCAGCACCACAUACAGGAACAGUUCAAUGAUUGGAGACGAUGAAUAGAAGACGUGACAUUUUACUUUUUACGUUUUUAUAGAAGUGACACUUUGUGCCUUUUACAGUGAAGUAUCAAGUUCUAGUGACCACAGAGACUAAUAUGUAGUGAUGUUGAGCCAAAAAGUACAGUUUUAUCAACACUAACCUGUCACAACCAUCACUGGAGAGCAGAGAAUUACAAGAGACAUUGUUGUGUUGUGUGUGAGUGAAAGCCAUUCAUUUCCAUAAAUUGGAUGGAAUUAUCAUUCUAUCUCAGUCAACAGUUGAUGAUAAGGAAAACUUCUGAGAAAUGCACCGUAGAGAACUGUAUACGUGCAUAUGUGGACUUUGUGGUUUUAUGGACAUAUUAGAAAGUUUGGGUUUUCUUGAUUAUAACAGGAACUCUGAAUGAACUAUAAGUUGUGGUGUAAGAAUACUGGAAAGAAUUAGUAAUAUUAUUGGAGUAUAAUAAAGUAAUAUUUAAAACAGAA
rnacentral:lncRNA from 1 species